UACAGAGGUCUCAAGCGUUUGUUCGGAUUCAUUGGGCGUAAAGGGUGCGUAGGUGGCGCGCUAAGUCAGGUGUGAAAUUUCGGAGCUUAACUCCGAAACUGCAUUUGAUACUGGCGUGCUUGAGGACUGGAGAGGAGACUGGAAUUCACGGUGUAGCAGUGAAAUGCGUAGAGAUCGUGAGGAAGACCAGUGGCGAAGGCGGGUCUCUGGACAGUUCCUGACACUGAGGCACGAAGGCCAGGGGAGCAAACGGGG
rnacentral:rRNA from 1 species